rnacentral:rRNA from 1 species
UCUGUCCUUGAUGCUUUCGGGGAGGUCACGGGCCUGGUCACUGAUUGCAAUAAGAGUCUUGUAGCCCCCAUCCGCUGCACCGGCCUUGACCUACAGGACAUCUUACAACACUUUCCGGCAAAGCUCACCCCUUUCCCCAUGACAUACCUUGGGCUGCCCCUCUCGGUGUCAAGACUCAAAGCAAUACACUUCUUGCCCCUUGAAGAUAAAGUUGCAUGCAAUAUUGCUCCUUGGACUGGGCAACUCAUGGCUGCCCCUGGUAGGGUCGUCCUG